rfam:Hordeum vulgare subsp. vulgare, WGS project CAJW01000000 data, contig: morex_contig_78191
UUACUACUCCCUCCGUCCGGAAUUACUUGUCGCACAAAUGUAUAAAAAUGGAUGUAUCUAGAACUAAAAUACAUCAAGAUACAUCCAUUCCUAUGACAAGUAUUUUCAGACGGAGGGAGUAAAAA